rnacentral:lncRNA from 1 species
GUUCCUCUUCACAUAACUCUAGAAAUUCUUUCAUUUCAUUGAAGAAUCCACCUUUCUCAGUGUUUCCACAGCAUGUUAUGAUGUCUCUAAUUUCAGUUACAUGAGAAAUGAGAUUGGAACACAUAGUGAUGAAACUAUGAUAGUGGAUGCUAGCUGCUUUUUUUGCUUCAGAUAACUCAUCACUUAGUUCACCUAACACUAAUAAACCAAGAAAUAAAUAACCCUUUUCACUUUCAUCAUUGUGUUUUUCAUAGAUAGCUUGUCUUUUGCCUUCUGAAUGAGCUACUUGUUCCACUACAAAAUGAAGCAAACUAGUUUUACCAUUUGUGCUUUUUACACCGGAAAGUUUUGUAAGAGCACUCAGGUUGAAACCUUGCGCAUUGCCUCUUGAAGUUCCAGCAUUCAUUCUGUUACCAGUUUUGAGAAUUGCCUCAAGGAGUUUCAAAAAUAGACCACUAGUUUUCAGUUCCUUGCAACCCAAGUCAAGUGUUUGUAAGUGUUCCUUAAGCCGAAGAAUUUCACUGU